UACGGAGGGUGCGAGCGUUGUCCGGAAUCACUGGGCGUAAAGGGCGCGUAGGUGGCCUGUGGAAGUCUGCGGUGAAAGCCCGGCGCUCAACGCCGGGUCGGCCGUGGAUACUCUCGGGCUUGAGCUUACUAGAGGCAGAUGGAAUUCCGGGUGUAGCGGUGGAAUGCGUAGAGAUCCGGAAGAACACCGGGUGGCGAAGGCGGUCUGCUGGGGUAAUGCUGACACUGAUGCGCGACAGCGUGGGGAGCAAACAGGG
rnacentral:rRNA from 1 species